rnacentral:rRNA from 1 species
CCCUUAGAUGUUCUGGGCCGCACGCGCGCUACACUGAUGUAUUCAACGAGUCCAACCUUGACCGAGAGGUCCGGGUAAUCUUUGAAACUGCAUCGUGAUGGGGCUAGAUUAUUGCAAUUAUUAAUCUUCAACGAGGAAUGCCUAGUAAGCGUGAUUCAUCAAAUCGCGUUGAUUACGUCCCUGCCCUUUGUACACACCGCCCGUCGCUCCUACCGAUUGAGUGUGUUGGUGAGGAGUUUGGAUUGGCCUCGGAAGGUGGUUCGCCACCGUCCGUAGCUGAGAAGUUCUCCAAACCGCCCCACUUAGAGGAAGGAGAAGUCGUAACA